GUGGGAGGAAGCUCAUUGUAGAGGUUACAUGCAGAGUGCUCGUCACUCGACCAAUCACCUCGGGGAAGGUCUGAGACAUGAGCCAAUUGUUGCCCUAGCAGGGUAUCACCUGAUCCGGGUGAGUGGGUGCACAGAAACUAUGGGCCGAGUGUGUUGUUCUAACAGGAGAAGCUAGAUGGUGUUAAUUUCAGCGCCACUAGUGGAUGUAGACUCACUGCCUUGGAAUCACCCACGGCUGGCGAAUGAGUGCGAUGGAUGAGGUGGAGCACAGCUCCAGAACCCAAUUCAGACUACUCUCCUCCCAC
ensembl:ribozyme RNaseP_nuc Nuclear RNase P